CGCUGCCCUGCGACUUUAGGUCACGCGUGGGAGUAAUCCAAAACCUCUGUCUGCGUAUAUGCAUACACACAGACACACACACAGACACACACACACACACACACACACACACACACACACACACACACACACACACACACACACACACACACACACACACUACUCAAAUAUUAGCUGAGUUGCUUAUAUAUAAAUAAAUAAUUUACCCGGCUUCAUUCUCAUGUUUAUGUCAAAAUAAACCCACAUUUUAGUGACUUUUUACUAUUAUGAUGAUGAUUUGGUCCCUAAGGAGGCUGCGACUGCUGCCGUGGCCCCGUGAACUUUGCCUGAGCUUGUGGUGUGAUCACAGACACCGGGAGAGGUGACGAACCCUGAGCAGAGGUGAGGCCGAGGCUUCUCACGGUCACGCCUCAGCUCGUCGCUGGACCGUUGAUCUGGGGCCUUUACGUGUAGUUCCGCCACCGGCCUGACGGGGGCGCUGUGGCUCUGCUAAAACUUUGAUUAGUGUUGACCAGCGCAGGUCAACAGGAAGUGCUGGAUCGGAGCAGAAAACAUCCGGACGUCCGCGGCAGUUCGUGUGUGAGUAUGAUUUUAAAAACGUCAGCGGAUAGUUUGUUUUUGUGAAUUGUGCAUUUGUUGUACGUGAGUCACAGCUGAUGCUUGUUUCUGAACAAACCAGCUUCAAUGUUCGUUUUAGCUAAAAACAAACUUCCAUCCAGCGCUUUGAGAUGUUAUAGAUUCACCUUUUAUUAUUUGUAGUCCAUAAAAUACACUGAGCGCUUAAGACCGACAGAUGGAGCGAUGCAGCUAAAAGUGAAUAUUUAUGCACCUUCAUCAUCUCUGGCGCAACUUCGCUGAACUUCCGCCAGGGGGCAGUGUUGCACUGGACGCGUCACAGGUGUGAUGAAGCAGCAACAGGAUGCAGCAGCGGUGACGUGACCGACGACUGGAGGCAUAAAUCUGUCCCCCUUCGUCCGUGUUCCUCUGCGGAGCGAGAGAAAUCGCAGUUGCUCCCGCUCCUCUCAGUAUAUAAACAUUCGGGCUCACGCUGCUGUCUAAGAGAUAUAGCUGUUGUGCUUUUCUACACCUUGUUAUCUCACCCUCCACUUAAAUAG
rnacentral:lncRNA from 1 species